UGUCAGAGUGAGAAGGUAACCGGUAGCUGGGAUGUCCUCUGUGGUGGAGGCUCCAGGCCCUGGUCUUGCUCCUGGUCGACUGGCCUGCUCAGGAGGAAGCACGUGGGAGGCAGUGGUACCCAGGCAGCUGCCCGGGACCUUAUGCUGCCCACAUAUGCCAUGUCUCGCUCUGGCCAUGAGCCCACUGGAUGUCUGCUCACCCCAUCACCUGAUAUAGCCUCUCUACUGAGGAACUAGGCUGUCUACUAGGUUGGGGCGGUCUUGGGAGAGAACCUCACCAUACCCAGCCACAUCCUGCAUGGACUGUGGGUGCAGAAAGCAGAGGUCCUAGGACAUCGU
rnacentral:lncRNA from 1 species